rnacentral:rRNA from 1 species
UACGUAGGCAGCAAGCGUUGUUCGGAGUUACUGGGCGUAAAGGGUGUGUAGGCGGUUGUUUAAGUUUGGUGUGAAAUCUCCCGGCUCAACUGGGAGGGUGCGCCGAAUACUGAAUGACUAGAGUGCGGGAGAGGAAAGUGGAAUUCCUGGUGUAGCGGUGAAAUGCGAAGAUAUCAGGAGGAACACCGGUGGUGUAGACGGCUUUCUGGACCGUAACUGACGCUGAGACACGAAAGCGUGGGUAGCAAACAGG